GAAUGUACUAACCCAGCCUGAGUUACAUUUCUCUUUAUGCCAAGGCAAUCAUAAACUAUACUUUGUCAUAUUUGUCUUAUGGAGGAAAGGCUCAAGAAGGCGAAAGUGCUCGAGGACCGUGAAAAUGUCUACACAAGCAGUGUGGUUCAGGGAGACUGUGGAAGUCACUUAGAAUCAACCCACACAACAGAAUUCAGUCAAAACCGUACAAAUGCAACGCCACGCAGUUACAUGGCGUCGAGCGGCCACUCUGAGCCUCCGUUUUCUCGUAGGACGAGUCACAGGAGUACUGAGCCCCGUGGUACCUCAGGCCGGGCGGGGAAGGCGCGGCGUUUGCUCUCACGCAGCCUUUUGGCCCAGCAGCCCCAGCGGCUUGUUCUUGUGCAGCAGCUGAUACAAUCGUCAGGACAGCACAGGGCCACCGGGGGGAGCAGGGACUCUGCACUUAGCAAGUGUGGUCUCGGCCAGUGUCCCUCCUGGGAGGCGGCGUACACAAGGGCGCCUCAGCCACGAGCCUCCCUGGGGUGAACCGGCGAGCCCUGAGGGAGCUCAGGAGGGAGAAGAGAGCCUGCCGCCCUACACCAUCAGACGGCUGCCAUUCCUCCGGGGAGCCCUGAGGAAAGGGAGCUCAGGGGAGAGGAGAGCCUGCAGCCCUACACCAUCAGACGGCAGCCAUUCCUCCGGGGAGCCCUGAGGAAAGGGAGCUCAGGGGGAGAAGAGAGUCUGCCGCCCUACAGCCAUCAGAUGGCAGCCAUUCCUCCGGGGAGCCCUGCGGGAGCUCAGGAGGGAGAAGAGAGCCUGCCGCCCUACAGCCAUCAGACGGCUGCCAUUCCUCCGGGGAGCCCUGAGAAAAUGGAGCUCAGGGGAGAGGAGAGCCUGCCGCCCUACCGCCAUCAGACGGCUGCCAUUCCUCCAGCGAGCCCUGAGGAAAGGGAGCUCAGGGGAGAGGAGAGCCUGCCGCCCUACAGCCAUCAGAUGGCAGCCAUUCAUUCCUCCAGCGAGCCCUGCGGGAGCUCAGGGAGAGGAGAGCCUGCAGCCCUACAGCCAUCAGACUGCAGCCAUUCCUCCGGGGAGCCCUGAGGAAAGGGAGCUCAGGAUGUGAAAACAGGGCGCUGGCCCCAGACAGCAAUGACCGUUCCCCACGCACCCGACGUUCCCGUGCACACUGGCCAAGUUCACAAGGUGCGCAAGGCCAAGUCCAAGACUGCAGAUGUUCUGCAGGUGCAACCAGAGACCUCCCUCCAUCUCACAGGACGGCACUUGAAUGGUUCCCAGGGAAAGGG
ensembl:lncRNA